GAGGGAGGGGUGGUGCAAUAAUUCUUUAGUCAUAGGACUUGCCAGUUGGUAGUUACUAGUAUUCCAGACACUUCCUAAUGCCAGACAAAUGCCCCAAGCCUCGGCUUGUCUGGCUUGGAGAUCUAUUCAUGUGAUAGCAGCCCGGCUCUUGCGGGAGACCAGAUCUCGGGGGCAGCCGCCCUCCGCUGCUAAUCAAACACAACAUUGUUCUCCCAGGGAAGAAUGGGAAGGUUUGUUUCAGAGUCACAGCUUUUUUUUUUCUCCUUUUCUAAGAGGCCCCCAAGUUGUUUUAACAAGUUGCUACAAAACUUGGGCUUUCCUGAGGUGAGGCUGUGGCGCACAGUGCCUGUACUGUACCAAAAUCCAGGGAGGGAGGGUCAGAGUUACUCAUUAAAAACGGGGGAAAAAAGCCCCAGGCACUUCAUGCCUGGAAAUGAUGUAACAGGCAGCCACUCCUCUGUUAGAACUACAACCAAACAAUGCUCAGGCAACGCGCGGCAGCUGCUCUCCAAACGUCAGCGCCUGCCCGGUCCAAAGAGCUUGAAAGGCACCAAGCUGGAGGGCUUCGUGCUGUACCUUUCUCGCCCACAUUUCCCCCACGCCCUCCCAGGAACCUGGCAACAGGUAACGUGGCAACCUUUGCUUUAUAAAAUGGCAAGUGGCAUCAUCUCAGAGAACAAAUGGAUUUUUUUUAAAAAGCCAGCCGCAUCUCCCCCCCCACCCCCCGCACCCAUACCCCGCCCCACCCCCCAGCCAAGAAGCUGAGAGAAAGGUACUGCGGCGGGCAGCCCUGCUCUCGAGUGCCGCCUUGUGGCUAAGCUCGGAACAUCACCGAGGUACCCUGAAAUCCGCGGCUCAGACCCGAGGCUGAAUGCCAUCUGCACAAAAGAGCUCCUGUUGACAUCUCAUUUACAAUCUCCCCCAGGACACAGACAAGACCGUUUCAAUAAGCUCGGCUCAGAAACACCUAUUGUUCGAAAUCUUCAACUAGCCACAGGCUACCACCACUCCCUAUUGUUUUGUAAAAGAAAAGAUUUAGAAGGAGAAGGAUUGCCACUGUGGAAGCUAUGAAAAGGCGAAGGAAAAAAGUCCCUUUGACCCGAUGCUGUCAGAGAGCGUGCAUGAAGAAUAAAGUUAAUGGAUUCCCAUUUUUCUAAGAAGUGCCUAAGAAAUGCCUGUUAAGUUUCUGAACUGGUGAUGGGGAAUUCUAAAUUUGAUGCCAACUUUGUGCGUAAAGAAGUGAACUCCUGCCAACGGGUUUGCUAAAUGAAAAGCCAUAGGCUAUCCUUACCCUAUUCUCAGCCCUUACAAAAGCCCUGUGCGCACCAAUAGCAGAGCGCCAGGUGAGUCUUUGAUCUGGGCUGUUUCCCUGGGAAUUGGAGCUGGACUGUCCUUUCCAAGUAGAAUUUCCAGGCUCAGAGCCCACUCCUCCCCGUUAAUGAUUGCCUUUUUUCCAUCGCCCCAUUUUGGUCUCUCUUUUAGCAAAAGUUGAACACACUCUGGAGUUAUGUAAUGUGGUCCUUAGUUUUUCUUCGCUCUGCUUCAAAUUCAGGGAGACAUUUGUGUUUACCCUGAAAAGGGUCAUUCCUCAAAUGCUCCUUAUCUUGACCCUCAUACUACGUCUUGCAGUUAACGCUACCCAUCUCUGCAAAUGAUCCCUUUAUCUACCCAGAGCUCAAGCCCAAACUGGGCAUUAUCUCUAAUUCCUUUGAGUCCUUGCUCCUCUUAAAUCCGUCUGGAAUCCUACCUCCUACAAGCCCUCUUUCUGCUUUACUAGAUCCUAUUACGUCCUCUCUGGAGGAUCACAGCAACUUCCUAACUCACGGUUUCUCUAACCACCAGUUGUGACUUAUUCAGGGGUCAUGAAAUCAGUUGAGGUGGGUCAUGCAGUUUCACCAUUUAAAAAAUGAAGCAGAUUAGAAAAUGUGAGAUUGCGUCAGACAAAGGAAAAAGUAAGUACUGUUUUGUGAGACUUGUUUCAGUUUGUGUGUGCAUCUGGAUCUGUGUACAUUCUGGGCAACAGGUAAAAAUGAAUUUUGUUUGCCACAAUAUUCUGAGAAACACUUUUCUAAUUGGUCUCACUGGGUCUGUCCUUAUGUCUGCUUCCACGCUGCUGGAUACACUUGGAGCAAGGGUUGAAGAUACUGAACAGAAACUGUCACUCUCCAGCUGACAGGUCUGCCCACAGGAGAAAGUCUCGCAUGAAGUCUAGGGCUUUGGAGAUUCUGAAUAACUGGGUUUCCUGCUCACUUUUCAAAAGGGCCUUGGAACUCUGCAUCCUCCCGACUGCUUUUACUCUUCGUCAUUAAAACCAUCAAGUUCCCUGGAAAGAAAAAGGGGACUUAAAAUAAAACAGCAACCUCUAAUAAUGGAGUCCUGCCCAGGCAGUUCCCGACAUAUAAAAGAGAAGUCUUGCUGUUGUUUGCUAUUAUAUGGAGAGAUGUUCAGAUUUUCUUUUUAUAUUGGAAAUGAAAAAGUAAAGAAAUCUGCACAUCCCCACGACCCCUUGUAGUGGUCAUUCCAUGAAAGCCCAUGGGACAGACACAGCCUUCCUGAAGGUUCCAACCAGCACAUCCUUACCCCUUUCUGAGUGCUGGGACCUGCCACCUUGACUCAUAAACCAUUCUGCAUCUCGCUGGGAAGAGACCUUGCUCCAGUGCUUGCAGCUGCUCUCGCAGCAUCCCACACCAGCACUUUGCCACUUGCCUUACUUAUGUAUGUUACAGAGUCUGGGUUUAGAGAACCUGCUCUAUUAAGUAGAAAGGCUACAGAAAUUUACCUCUUUAGGGGGAAAAAAGAAACAAAAACAGCAACUUUAAAUUCUUUAAUUUAGAAGCAGGUCUGUUGCUCUUUUCCCUAAACUGAUCAGCAGUAGCUUGCCUUUGGCAGAAAAUUUGACAGAAUAUUAUGAUAAGAAGAAAUUGACAUGAAAGUGCACUCUAACAAAGAAAAAAAGUCACUGUUGUAAUUCUGUAUAAAACUGUGUACUCUGACAUCAAGCAGUUAGAGCCAUGUGAUGUGCUUAUGGAUGAUUUUUACUUUAUUCUUUGGGCUUCUCUAAAUUUUCUAAUUAAAAAAAUCAUUGCUAUUGUAAUCAUAAAAACAUAUACAUGUCAGAAUACCAAUUAGAUACACUAUUAGGUCAUCACUGUUGUGACACCUGACUAAUUUCAUUUUUACCAUAUAUAUUGCUGUGUAUUUUUUCUUUUCUUUUUUUUUUUUUAAAGAUUUUAUUUAUUUAUUUGAGACAGAGAGAAUGAGAGACAGAGAACAUGAGAGGGAGGAGGGUCAGAGGGAGAAGCAGACUCCCUGCCGAGCAGGGAGCCCGAUGCGGGACUCGAUCCCGGGACUCCAGGAUCAUGACCUGAGCCGAAGGCAGUCGCUUAACCAACUGAGCCACCCAGCUACUAAGCCAGGUGCAUCCUGUGCAAAAGGCCUGUGACCCUCCGAAGCGAUAGUUCCAUCCAAAGGUGGUGAGAUUAUACCAGCCCAUCUCCAUGACAACCAGGUGUCUUAUUUAUCUUGUCUAGUGCCAGAUUUGGAGAUGGAGGAGAGGUUCAGAGAGGCUGGUAACCUGCCAGAGGUGGAUGCAACCGUAUUUUCUGACAGAUUCUUCCAGAACAGCUGCCUGCCCGAAGCCCUGAGCCACCACAGGAGCUGUCCAGUUGCCCUGAAGCCGCCAUCAGCCACGUGGAAAAGUUACAUGGAGAAGCCUUGAGGCUAUUGGAAGAGAAAGAGAUGCUCAGCGAGCCCCGAGUUCUAGCGCCUCACCAACUGCAAGCCUGGGAGAGCCCCUGAACCAGAAUUACCCAGCAGAAGGUCUUCCCAGAUUCCUGGCCCUUACAAACAGGACUAACAAGAUGAUUGCUAUUGUUUUAAGCGGCCUGCUAGCAGGUUUGGAAGGUGGUGCUUCUGACUGAGCCCGGAGUGAACAAGCCCAGUGGGGCCACCGGAGGCUCCUGGCUCUGAAGAGGAGGCAUUGCGGCUCUAGAUUCUAAAAAGUCUGCAGCCACGGGAAACCAGCCCAGGUGGUGAGGAUGGAAGUCCUUGGGAAGAGCUGCUAUCACAUGUACAUGGGCAGUGGUAAGUGCCCCACAACGAAAUGAGAGAGCUAAAGCUUCCAUCCCCUAAAGUGGUGGUUCUCAAAGGUGGUCUAACCCUCAGUGUCAGGGCACCUGGAAAUUGUGUCUCAGACUCUCUGGCUAUACCCCAGACCUACUGAUGGAGAAACCCCCCAGGUGGGCUCUGCGAGCAUUCAGGUGGCUCCAGUGCACACCAGGGUUCACCUUAAAAGUAAGUGACCUGGGCUGGUUCUUUUUUUUUUUUUUUAAAGAUCUUAUUUAUUUUUCAACAGAGGGAGAGACAGCGAGAGAGGGAACACAAGCAGGGGGAGUGGGAGAGGGAGAAGCAGGCUUCCCGCUGAGCAGGGAGCCCGAUGUAGGGCUCGAUCCCAGGACCCUGGGAUCAUGACCUGAGCUAAAGGCAGACGCUUAAUGACUGAGCCACCUAGGCACUGGGCUGGUUCUUACUGAGUGACGGGUACCUGGGGACCCUUGAAAGUGGAUGUGUUCCUAUUGAAUUUACACUUCGAUUAGUUAUUUUGUGAUUUAUGCUUGGUUUGGAAUCUGGGAAGGAUGGGCAAAGUUCUCAACCCCAAGAUGGGGUCUGCAUGGGAAAGCGGGAUGAGGGGGAGCCCAGAGUUCAGUCUCCAUGUCCCUACAGGUCCCUACCCCCUUCACACAGCCUGUGCCUGUGGAAAAGACCAAGAAUAAGGCUAGAUCGUGGUGACAGGGCCUUGCCCUUGGCCCAGCUUGGGGCAGCAGCAGGUGGCUAUUCCCUCCCAACUCCUUGCUCAAUCCUGACCUGGCUAAUUGGAAAAAGUACUCGCUUCUGAAAGCCUGAGUGACGUCAUCCCUUCCAGGCACAGCUUAGAGUUUUAGAAUCAGACAGACAUGGGUUUCAGUCCUGGCUCUGCCUCCUAUUAGCUGGGUGAUCUUGGGCACUGAAUCUCUCUGCGUCUGUAACUGGGCAUGCUAAAGUACUUAUCUGAUAGAGGUCGUGAGAAAUUUAGUGAAAUAAUGUAUGCCAAGGUCCUAGGGCAGGGCCUAGAACGAAGUCAAUGCUUAUUAUUAUUUUUUUUAAAAGAUUUUAUUUAUUUAUUUGACAGAGGGAGACAUAGCAAGAGAGGGAACACAAGCAGGGGGAGCGGGAGAGGGAGAAGCAGGCUUCCUGCUGAGCAGGGAGCCCGAUGCGGGGCUCGAUCCCAGGACUCUUGGAUCAUGACCUGAGCCGAAGGCAGACGCUUAACAACUGAGCCACCCAGGCGAAGUCAAUGCUUAUACUAUUGUUACUUAUUGUCAUUAAUUGUAAUUCAUGUUGCUAAUUGCAACAAAGAGCUAUUAUUUACUCCAGCCGUGAUUUUAGUCUAUUUCCAGGCUUCACAUGUAUCAGGGAUCCAAAUCACAAGUUCAUCCUUAGAAGGGAUUCAGCCCAUUUUAAGUGCUGCUAACACCUCUCUCUCAGGUUCUUCAAGGCUCGGUGAUGAGGAAAAGUCACCUAUAAUGUGAAGGCGUUUCUCGGUGCUUCCCAGCUGCUGGAACUUUCUGCAGCAGUGGGGGGGGAUGUGGCUGGUCCCGAGCUGGUUGUUCCCAUGUCCCCCUCAGUGCCCGGUCCGGGUGGCUCUGAUACUUUACCUGCCUCCUCCUGGGGCCUCCAGGGCACCCAGACAGCCGCUACCGCAUCCUGCUGCUUCAGAAGCAGAAGUGAGGCGCCUUCAGGACCUUCCUGGGUGAGUGACAGCCCUUGAGAUGAGAUUAAUAAAAUGCUGGCGCUCAGGGGAAUCCAGGCUUUCCCCCUGUCACCUCUGCCCCUCCUUUCUCAGGACACACAAAAGGAGCCCGGCCGAUCGGGUCAUGUCAGCCUUUUCUGUGAAGACAGUGGGCACCGGUGACCAGGGUGUGAACGGUCCCUUUCACCGUUGGAGGGUCCCACCGGUAGACACGCUGCCAGAAUGUGACCGGCCACUCUGUGCUUGCCUGUGCCACCGCCUGUGUAGUGCGGGGCUCUGAGGGCAUCACUUUGGGGAUCUGGCCCCUGAUGGCAGAUGAGGUGUUGUCCCGCUUCCUUAGGGGAGCUGCUGGGUUUUUCCUCAGCCGCCACAGGCAGCCGAGUGACAGCAUUCCGGGAACCAGAGGGGCUCAGGGAGCCCCUGGAAUUUCAAGGGGAGCAGCCCGGCUGCCCGUUCAUUUCUGCCUUGUUGUUUUCUCUGAGUCGUACGACACUACUUUGUGGCUCGCUCACUCACCACCCGAAUCCCACAAACUUGAAAAUUUACCUUUCUUAGAAGGGAAAAGCCUGUUGAUUUUUACCUCCACAGAAACAGUUUAAUUUUUAAAAGAUUCAAGAUGCCCCCAAAGGUCACGAUAAAGACUAAUUAUAAGAACAAGGGAAAUGAACAGAUGAAGAAUAUCCUGCCCCCUUUUAAUUCAAGUUUAUUCUAUUUAUUCUGUGUAAGCCAAGGGAAGGAUUGGUCACAAUAUUACAUCUGAUUUAGGCCAUAUCACCUAAGGGUGAAUGUUUGUGUCCUCCUUAAAUUCUUACGUUGAAACUCUGUCCCCUAAAAUGAUGGUGUUUGGAGGUGGGGCCUUUGGGAGGUGAUAAGGUUUAGAUGAGGUCAUGAGGAUAGGGGUCCUUCUGAUGGGAUUAGUGUCCUUACAAGAGGAGAUGCCUGUCUUUCUCUCUCACCACAUAUAAAGGUCAUGUGAGGACACAGCAAAAAGGCUACUGUCUGCAACCCAAGAAGCGAGCCCUCACUAGAUGUUGACCCUGCUGGCGCUUUGAUCUCAGACUUUCAAGACUCCAGAACAGUGAGAAACAAAUGUCCGUUGUGAAGCCACCCAGACUCUGGUAUUUUUUCUAGCAGCCUCCAAAGACUGAGACAGUGCCUCAAGAGCAAAAUAAUCUAAACUCCAAGAAAUAGACUACAGAGCCCCAGGCAGCUUUCAUUGGGUGCUCCUCCCAUCCCAAAAGACAAAAUCAUGGUCUUUCACGGAUGCUUAUAGAAGAAAAUCUACCACCACGUGCAGAGUGUGUGAAAGGGAAGAACCCAAACAAGGAGCCCUUGCAUCCUCUCAGUGCCCACCUCACAGAGCCUCUCCUGCCACCUAGCCAGGGUUCUUGGCAGUGGACCUUACUGGCCUGCUUCCCGAAGGAGGUGGUUCUCCAUUUUCUCUCCCAAGCAGGCUUCUCUUCCUCCUCCAUGGAAAUCUAUCUCUAGCCCAUUAUACGCCUAUGAUUGCAUGCCUGCCAAAUUCUACAGCUAUUCAUGAGGUUAUCUUAGGAAUGGAUAUAUUCCACCUAUUAGCUUUGGUGGCCAAGACCUGCUGCUGUGUUGGCAUUUUCUAUCCUCACAUCCUGUUAGAGGCUGUGUGUGUGUUUGGGCCUGAGUGGGUUAUGGUGGUGGGGAGAGACACCUCCUGGUCAAGCAUUUGCCAUGGAGCUGCCUGGCAUGUGUAGUGUUCCUCAAGGUGGCGCCACACAGAUGCCCCAAAGGAAACAGUUGGAGGCUGAAUUAGCAAUAAUUCUCCUGAAUUAUUUUCAGGAGAUUAGAAUUGGAACAGCUUCAAGGAUUCAUAAUACAAAAUAGUUUGCUUUAAGGCAGUUAAACCAGAAGCAUAAAUUUUAAUUCUGAGGGACAGAAAGUAGAUUAGUGGUUGCCUAGGUUUGGGGGUAGGGAGUGGAGAGUGACUAACUGGGAUGAUGAAAAUGUUCUGAACUUAAAUUGUGGGUGAUGGUUGCACAACUCUGAAUCUACUAAAACAAACCCCAAAACAUCUAAAUACAUACUUUAAAUGGAUGAAUUUUAUGGUAUGUGAAUUCCAUCUCAAGUUGUUAAACAUUUAAUUCUGAGAGAAUUACAUCGUCUAUAAAAAUAGUACUAAUAUUUUAUUAGCAUUAUUAACUUUUUUUUACCAAUUAUUUCUGGUGUGUGAUGACUAAUACUUAGGUUACAUAUGCUCUUGGGACAAACAGACUGGAGAAGUUGUAGGGCUUCAGACAAGGGCCAGGUCCCAAGCACAAAAAUGCGGGGAGUGGAUUUGUUCAGUCUGAAUGUUCAUUAGUCUUUCUUUAUGUUCUCCCCCAUUACAGAUCCAUGAGGUAGAAGGGGCUGUCUGAGCAUGCGUGCUUCCUCCUACCUUAUCUCUGUAAUCAUUCCCCUGUGUUCUACAACCUCAAACAUCAUCCAGCUGAUUCUCCAACAGGAGGGCAUAACAGACUCUUCAGGGGGGGAAACGGGACAGAGGGUAGUUUUUGUAAAGACUAGAGAUGCUUUGGUGACUCAGUCAUUGAGCUUCCGACUUUUGGUGUUAGCUCAGGUUAUGAUCUCAGGGUUGUGGGAUCGAGCCCAGAGUCCCACCUCAGCCUCAGUGCUCAGUGUGGAGUCUGCUUGGAUUCUUACCCUCUUCUUCUCCCUCCUCCUCUGCUCCCCCCCACCCCGCCCCCCGCCAUCGACCAGCCUGUGUGGGAGCUCCCGUGCUCUCUCUUAAAUAAAUAAAUACAAUCUUAUAAAAAAAAAAAAGGAUAGGUUGCCUUAUAAUGUAUUUAUUAUUUUAUCAAGGGGCUCUUUCUCUAUGUAAUAUUCUAAAAGAAUAAUUACCACAAUCCAGGAUCAUGAUUUGGAAUGUGAUCAGCACCCUAAAAGCACCCAGCUCCCAGCCCCCUCUGCACCUUUUCCCCAUUAUAAACCACCUCUCCUUUCCCCAGAAGUAACUACUUUUUCAAAUCUCCUAAUCACUUUUAGUUUCUUGUUCCCUGUAGAUCUUCUAAAGCUUAUCUUUUAUUUACACAUAGCCAGUAUAUGUAUAACUAUAUUCAUAACAUCUGAAUCCCACAAACUUUAAGAUUUACCUUUCUUAGAAGGGAAAAGCCUAUUUUAUUUAUUUUUAUUAAAGAUUUUAUUUGAGAGAGCAUGAGCGGGGGGAGGGGCAGAGGGAGAGGGAGAAGCAGACACUCCCCACUGAGCAGGGAGCCUGACAUGGGGUUCAGUUCCAGGACCCUGGGAUCAUGACCUGAGGCGAAGGUAGACGCUUAACUGACUGAGCCACCCAGGUGCCCAAAGCCUGUUUAUUUUAAUUCUAAUAAUUUAACAUCUUAAUCGUUGGUUGCAACUGUUCUCUUCUUCAUGGUGCCUUGUUUCCUUGUGUGCUUAGUCAUUUUUGACAGUGAGAAGAUCAUGUUCCUUGCAAAAUUAUUUUGCAAAGUUAUUUGGGGCCUAGAAAAAUAUUCCUUUUUCUGUAAAGGAUUAUCAUGGAAAUAUCCAUAGCCUGAGGUCCUUUGAACCACUCAGCCAAUGUAACUUUGGGCCCAGGAUGUGAAAGAAGUCCAUGUGUGGUUACAGCUUCUCAUGAAGCUUUAGUACUUUAGUACCAAGGUAGGAGUUUUCUUGGUGUAUGUGUGUUUUAUUUUGCUAUGUUUUGUUUGGAGUGGGGGGAAGGGGAAGUGGAUCAUAGGGAUAUACUUACCUUCUGGUUCAUGCUCAUGGGUAGAGUGUAAUCUUUUGGGGUGCAAGUUUUAUGGGAUAGUUUUCUCAUUAGACGUCUCCUUGGGAAGACUGGGGCUUUAACAUCUGCUCACUUCUUCCUACUCUAGGAUAUUAUCAGAACCUAAACUUGCGAUCAGCCUAAUUCAGCAAAUGCCCUCCAUGCAGAAGAAGCACCUUUACUGUUUUAGUUACCUCUCUAACUUCCCGCUUUCCAGUAACUCCUUAUUAACUCAUUAGAUCUUGGGUGUUUUGAAGGAUAUAUAUGUAUACUUACGGAUGUAUGGAUUCUGCCAUAUUACUACAAGUGAAACCUAUGAGAACAUAAUUUUAAAUUUAUAAGAUGAAAUAUUUAUUGGUUUUUAUAUUACAGUGACUGAAAGUGAAGCCUGGGCACUUUUUUUUGGCUGGAGGUGCUAUGACUCUUCCUGUGACUUGGGGGGGGCGCCCACAAAAAGGAACAGGAAAAGGGGGAUGCUUUGUAUAUUUCUUUUGGGGAGGUUUAUUAGAAUUUCUGAGUGGAAAGAGGGAAUUUAUGCUAAUGGUGAUCAUGUAUAUGUAUGUAUGUAAAGUAUAUCAAGAGGUGCUUUGGAUUUUUAAAAAGUUUAGAAACACUAUUCCAUAACUAUUCAAUCCUGUUUUCUAAAAUUUCACCGAAGUUGCAAUUCUACAGAUUCUAUAAUGAAGAGGCCCUUUUACAUUUGGGGUCUUUGACUUCUUAGAUAAUCUGUUGAAAGCUAUAGAUGCUCUUCUCCAGAGAUAAUUCACACACGUAUACAUAUACAAAUUGAGAUUCUAAUUUCAGAUGGUCGAAGGGACACUCUAAAACCCAUUCAUUGAUCUAGAUUAAGAAUUUCAGCUCUAAAAAUACUAAAUACUACUUUAAUUUCCACAAAGGAAUAAGUUAAAUAACCUAUGGCCAUCCAUAAAAGUAGAAUUUUAUGCAGAUAUUAAAAAGGAAAUAACCUAGGGCGCCUGGCUGGCUCAGUCGGUAGAGCAUGUGACUCUUGAUCUCAGGGUCAUGAGUUCAAGCCCCAUGUUGAGCAUAGAGCUUACUUUAAAAAAAAAAGGAAGCAACUCUAUGUAUACUAAUUUAACAGAUGCUAAAGAUACAAUGUCAAAUGAAAAAAGUUGUAGAACAAAUGAGAAUGAUUUUGUUUGUGUAUACACUAUGUAAUUAUUCCAUUUGUGUAUAUGUUUAGAAAAUAUCUGCAGGGAUACACAAAACCAUGACAUUGUGACUGGAUGAGUAUUGUGGAGACUUUUUUCUUUAAACAAAGUAAGAUUUGGACCUACCAGCAUAGACUUAUAUUUCUUGUAUAUAUUAUGAAGAAAAAUUAAGUUAAAAAAGAUGAACCAUUCUUCUAAAAUACAGUGUUUUAUACUCUUUAUAAUCUAUUCCAAAGGAAAAAACAUAUUAUGUAUUUAUUGCUAUCCAAAUGAGAUUCUUCCCUCUAAUUGAAAACUUUGAUCUCCCUUUCCUUUUUUUGUUUUCCGAAAGGUUAAAAGACAUUUUUGGACUUUCCUUCUUGACUUCACUAUCAUUGUCUAAUUACCUUUUGCUUCUCCAAGUUUUCAAUUUCUUAUUUAUGUGUAAUGUAUUAUAUGAAUGAAAUCCAGACAUUUGUAAAUUAUAUUGAGAAUAUUGCUUGAAUUUCUAUGUGAAUUCUCUUAUUUCAUGACCUCCUAAGUCAUACAUUAUGAUUUUGAUACAAAACAUUCCAUGGAUUGUUAACUCAAAUUAUGCUAUUAUAGUCAACUACAUGAAAUGAGGUAAUUAGAAAGCUACCAUGUUUGUACAUGAUGAGCUUCGUCUCAAAUACUAAGGGACUUUAUCUGUUAUAUACUUGCACAGAUGGGUUUAUUGGGGGUGAAUAAAAUAAUUCUAA